rnacentral:lncRNA from 1 species
CUGGGGGUCAGGAGGAGGCCCUGCUUUCAGCACAAGGGGUCCCAUGGGGCGCCGGGCGCUGGUUCUCACAUGUGCUGCCCCAACCCUCCCUAGGUGUCAGGAUCUGGCCUGUCGCCCCCCACUCCAGUGGGACCCCCAGCGCCCCCAGUGCUGCUGCUGCUGCUGCUGCUGCCCCCACGGCCGCUGGCUUUUUGCCCCACAUCUGGACGGCUGCCAGGAUCCCCGUUGCUCAGGACCCACAGGCUGCCAAGGGCCAGAGAUCCUUCCGUGGGGCCACCUGGAGGGCCCCCCAGAGGAGCCGGACCGCCAAGCCACCUGGGAGGGGCGAUGGCCUCCAGGACAGGCCUCCUUCCCGGGUGCCCUCUCCUCCUCCCGAACUCUCUCCCAUCCUUCUUUCCAGUUGUUCUACAACGCGGUCUCCAUCCACAACGGCUCUCCUGGAGGCCAGUCAGAACCUGAACCGAAGGCAGACCCUCCCACCCCCAUCGACUGCAGUGAUUUCUUCUACACGGACCCAGUGAUGGCUCCAGGACACCGGAUUUACAACUGGCUAUCCAGCUCCUCCCAGGAAAUACCUGGGGGAGCAUGUGCCCUCUUUUAA